rnacentral:rRNA from 1 species
UACGUAGGGUGCAAGCGUUAAUCGGAAUUACUGGGCGUAAAGCGUGCGCAGGCGGUUAUGCAAGACAGAUGUGAAAUCCCCGGGCUCAACCUGGGAACUGCAUUGUGACUGCAUAGCUGGAGUGCGGCAGAGGGGGAUGGAAUUCCGCGUGUAGCAGUGAAAUGCGUAGAUAUGCGGAGGAACACCGAUGGCGAAGGCAAUCCCCUGGGCCUGCACUGACGCUCAUGCACGAAAGCGUAGGG